UACGAAGGGUGCAAGCGUUACUCGGAAUUACUGGGCGUAAAGCGCGUGUAGGCGGGUCUUUAAGUCAGGGGUGAAAUGCCAGGGCUCAACCUUGGAACUGCCUUUGAUACUGGAGACCUUGAGUCCGGGAGAGGUGAGUGGAAUUGCGAGUGUAGAGGUGAAAUUCGUAGAUAUUCGCAAGAACACCAGUGGCGAAGGCGGCUCACUGGCCCGGAACUGACGCUGAGACGCGAAAGCGUGGGGAGCAAACAGG
rnacentral:rRNA from 1 species